ACAUUGGUAGUUCAGUGGUAGAAUCCUCGCCUCCUAAGCAAGAGACCCUGGUUUGAUUCCAGCCAACGCA
rnacentral:tRNA from 1 species